GACGUAGGGGACGAGCGUUGUCCGGAUUCAUUGGGCGUAAAGCGCGCGUAGGCGGUUCGGUAAGUCGGGUGUGAAAACACGAGGCUCAACCUCGUGCGUGCAUCCGAUACUGCCGGACUAGAGGUAGGUAGGGGAGAUCGGAAUUCCUGGUGUAGCGGUGAAGUGCGCAGAUAUCAGGAGGAACACCGGUGGCGAAGGCGGAUCUCUGGGCCUUACCUGACGCUCAGGCGCGAAAGCUAGGGGAGCGAACAGG
rnacentral:rRNA from 1 species